AUUUCUCGCUCAAUUCCGAAAUUCACGGCGACUGAGGUCGCUCGUCGUCAAGAUGCUCCAUUUUCACUCACGUCAGCUCCGAAACUCCCUGACGUUGGCGGGUCACGAGGUUCUCGCGAAAUUCAAUCACAAAAGUGUCUGGGUUGUCGGAGCUUAUGAGCUUAAUUCAUUGCCCUUUUGUUUUGCAGAGUGAAUUGUUCAACCGCAAGUUCGCUUUUUUCCUUCUUUUUUUUGGGUUCUUAUCUCGUCCUGUUUAAUGGGUUUUCAGAGAAGCGAAUGAUGCAGACAACUUGUGGGUUCAUUAUGAGAUUUCCUUCCAAAGUCGUCACAAUCAGCAUAAGUGCGGUCUCAACAAGUGAGUGAAUGGUCGUGCUGUGCCUGCUUAGUCCAAUGGUGCCAGAGAAAAUAUUGAAGCUCUCUAGCUCUGAUGUCGUAUCCAGGACUCCUUCAAGCUCCUCCUCCAAGCCCAGAUCCCUGAAGAUCUGCACAUUCCUCAAUUUGUCUCUCAUCAUCCAGAUUGCCAGCUCGAUAGCAAAUCUUCUCAUUCUCGGCACCUUUAUACUUGGGCUCCGGUGCCUCCUCAGGAUGUCAACCAAAGUGCAAGCUAAUUUGGCUUCUUUAAACCCUGCACUCUCGAAGAUGGCAGUCGAUUCUUCUGCUGUCAUGAACUUGAAAGCAUGUGCCGCUAACCCAACCAUCACCUCUUGUAGUUUGCCUUCUCCUGACAAGAUUGCCUUGAGAACCUGAGUUGAGAAAUGUGGUUAGGUAGGAACAAUUAAUAUCAUUCUCUCUAGGAUAACUUUAACUUGUACAUAACUGCCCUUUCCGGUUAUUGAGAUGCCGGCUCAGGUUAAAUUUUUGCAAAAUAAUGUACUUACCACUGGUGCCGCUGCUGUUACUCCCUUUAGCUGGUUGAAGGACUCUGGCCCACUAUAAGUGCACAGAUUCCUCAAAAUUCUUCCAGCAUUAACACGAAGAAGUUCUGUCUCCAAUGCUUCUAGGAGCCUCUCCACUACAUUUAACUUCAAGAUGCAAUGACAGUUGCUCUUGCUCUCGAAAGCCAGCAUUGCCAGGGCUUCUCCUGCCACAAUCCUCACAUCCCUUUGAUCUUCUGGCACUCCUUCUUGGAAGAAAAUCUUUAAAAGUUCUUUCAGAACUCCACCGGUCCCUCCUAUUCGCUCUGUUGCAUCGUCGUCCUGUGCUAAACUGAGCUCACGGGACUCAAUAUAUCCUUCACGGAUUCAACUAAAGCUCUAGAGCUCAAUCUGAGCUUUCGGAAGCUGCUAAUUCCAACAUCAGCUAUUGAACAAGUGGACUGGUGUUGCCAUUCCAGCUCAUGACUCCUGCUGAAUAUUCGAGCUCCUUCAAUCAAUAAAAUGAUGGUGAUGAACCAGAAAUCAGUGUUCUCCAAGGUAAUGGCAAAGCCCCCCAGGAGAACAACCGUCGCCCAUAUGAAACCAAGGGCUCCAAGGCCAGUGGCAGCUUUUUCGAGAAUCGCAAGGCGGAGAGCAAAGAGAGUCAGCUUUUUCUCGGGGGCUGGAACAGCCGGUGAUGUGGGGGAAACAGAGUUUCCGCUGCUUCCAUCUCUCCCAUCGGCAUUAGUUUGCGGCUCGAAGAUUGUGGUGGGUGAAAUGAUUUCAUUUUUCUUCUGAAGCUGAGGAAUAUCCAGAUGAACACUGCUUCGACCUCCAGCACUGUUCUUGACAGUCAUUUUGCAGUCUGGAGAAGCUCAAGAACAGACGCUCCUUUGCACAUCAAAUCAGCUGAGGAAAACUUCUAUCUAGUGUUUCGAUGGAACCUGAAAUCAAUUUCCAAAAUUUCUGUUUAUGAAUAGCCUGGAUUGGGAUGGGAGUCAGCAGCUAUGCCUGUAUAAAAGGUGGGGAGAAUAAGUGGAUCUAGCAGAACAAAAGGUAAGGUGAAGCUGCUUCUAUUGCCAACUUUCCAGGAAGCUCGUGUUUGGACGAAAUUCCUAGAUGAGCUUUGUUGACUGCCCGAUGAAGAUCUCUCACUAUCUUUCCGCAUAGACGAGCUUUGGCUUGUGCUUAACAAAACUUGUGCAAAAGAGAAGACAAGUUGAGAUCAAUGUUGACUCUGUCAGAGGAAUAUGUGACCUAAGGUUCUGAUAUUUUAAUGAAUGAUCUGGUUCUAAGUUCAAAGUUGCCAUGCACAGCUCCUUGGGAGGCAUUGACUUCAACAUCAAUGGAAAGGAAGAUUCCUCAUGAAGUUAAACCUUUAAAGUCUCCUUUUUCUUCUGGUCUCUCCGUGCAUGAGUCAUUGGCCGACUGUAAUAUCAUAAGCUAUAAUCAGUCUGUCCAAUUGGGGAAAUCUCCAAAUUGCUUCUAAGCAACUGGGUCAUGCCUCCUUAUUAAAGCAGUUGGUCAAGGAACCGACCAUUUUAAAAUUCAAAACACUUGUCCCUCAUAAUUUAGUAAUGCGUCCCGUGCCACACGAUCAUGCAAGGAGUGAUAUUGUAAUCUCUUACAUGACGGCACAUUUUUGGAUUUUCAUGGCAACUUUGCUUGCUUCUCGACAAUUAUUUCAAUGUCAUGCAAGCACGGUUGGGCAUCUCUUUUGUAUCUUGCUGGAAACAUUUUAUCGAAUGUCUUGGUCUUAAGCUAGAGGA